rnacentral:rRNA from 1 species
GACGAACGCUGGCGGCGUGCUUAACACAUGCAAGUCGAGCGAAGAAGCACCUUCGGGUGUGGAUUAGCGGCGAACGGGUGAGGAACACGUGAGGAAUCUGCCUUUCACUUCGGGAUAACUCCGGGAAACCGGGGCUAAUACCGGAUAUUUUCAACUGGCGGCAUCGCCGGUUGAAGAAAGUUUUUCGGUGAAAGAUGACCUCGCGGCCUAUCAGCUUGUUGGUGAGGUAAUGGCUCACCAAGGCGACGACGGGUAGCCGGCCUGAGAGGGCGACCGGCCACACUGGGACUGAGACACGGCCCAGACUCCUACGGGAGGCAGCAGUGGGGAAUAUUGGGCAAUGGAGGAAACUCUGACCCAGCGACGCCGCGUGAGGGAUGAAGGCCUUCGGGUUGUAAACCUCUUUCAGCAGGGAAUAAGCGAAAGUGAAGGUACCUGCAGAAGAAGCACCGGCUAACUAUGUGCCAGCAGCCGCCGCGG